GGUGCUGAGGUAUAUGGGAUGUGUGCUGGUGCUCCAAAAUCAAUUAAUUUGGUUUGUGCUUGCUUUGCAAGGUUUUCCAGACUGGUAGAGGCUUGAAGUGAGGAGGGGAUGUGUGUGUCCCCUGGAGGUGCUGAUUCAGCAGGUAGGUCUGUCCCAGAGCCCUGAUCCUUUCUGUAUCAACCAGGUGCCUAUGAGAUCCCUCACACCAUAAUGGGGGUCUCUGCAGCACACACAUACCCCACCGUGGGCUCAAAAGUCUAUUGGGUCUUUCAGGACAAGUAAUGGAUUAAAACCAUGAUUAUUAUUUUUUUUUCUCUCUCUCUCUUUUAUUUUUUUUUUUUUUAAGGAAAUGAACUAAAAUAUUUGGUUCCCCAGUGCCUGCUUUUUGGGUUUAGGGGGUGCUUUGGUGUGCACUGGGGUUGUGUUUCUCAGCUUUUCUCUGGGACCUGGAAGCCUAUGAACUGGUUGUUCCUUUUCUCCUCUUUUUAAAAUGAAAUCUGAGAUUUUUGCAUAAUACAUCGGAGCAAGAAGCUGGGGAGGGGGUGAAGAAAAACAUCAAGUACUGUGGGACUGAAAUUGCAAGAGUUGGCAACACUGAUAUUUUUUGUUUUUCUUUCCUUUUUCCAGAGAAAAAGAAAACACCCCCCAUUUUGCUGAGCCCCAGCAGGGUGAACAGAGGGAAAAGGUGCUCCAGGGCAGGAAGAAACUGUGAAGAAAUAGGUUUGGACAAGAGUUGAAGGAUUGUAUGCCCAACUGAACCUACUACUGAAAGCAAUGAGCUGGAUGAGCCCUCUCCCUCGCCUUGCUAUAUAGGAUGGGCGAGCAACACCUACCCGAGUACCACACGGCUUCCUCCAGGAGGCUGGGAGCUGUGCUGGAGCUCGCCCAUCUGACCCAGUCCUCCACAUGAGAUCUGGCAAGAUAAUCGCUCCAAGCGUCUGGGUAAGUACUGCAAAAUGCUUCAAAUAAAUGAAU
rnacentral:lncRNA from 1 species